rnacentral:tRNA from 1 species
GGGCGAUUAGCUCAGUGGUAGAGCGCGCCCCUGAUAAUGGGCGAGGUCUCUGGUUCAAGUCCAGGAUGGCCCA